AGACCUAGGAAGCUGCAUCGCUUCCUGUCGGCCUUGACACACUUCCUGUGUCCUUAUGUUUACAAGGGGGAGACAAGCACCUCCACUCAGCUAAGCCUGCAUCCAGAUUCAGAAACAUGUCUCUGGACGCAGGCUUAGCUGGGUGGAGGUGCUUGUCUCCCCCUUGUAAACAUAAGGACACAGGAAAUGUGUCAAGGCCGACAGGAAGCAGUGCAGCUUCCUA
rnacentral:SRP_RNA from 1 species